UACUGGUGUUCUUUGAAAGUCAGCCUGUACGUUUCUGAAGAAUCGUGGGAGAAGCUACCCGAUCUUAAUGCACGUGCUUUUCCAUAACUGACCGAGUGUUCUAGUGCGACGUCGUAUCGGUGUUCUUUUGUUUCAACCCUCGACACGUUCCGCACGGCCUUCUAGUACCCGUAGAACGGCCACUAGAUACAUGAUGAGGGAAACAACCAUGAGCUCAGUGAUCCUUUCGAUUUACGCGAUAGUAGACCUCAACAUUGUUCGGUGUUGGGGCCUCCCCUAACCCACGUUGGUAGUGUACCGUGCGAGCUGCCAACGGGGUUCUCGACGCCGUUACACUCGAAACCGAUGGGGAAGCCGUAGCCUAGGUCCACAAGGGCCCCCGGACUGAAGUUGGAGUGGACGUUGUUGUGGAGAGUAGGGGGGUCUGAUAAGAACUCCCUGCUAUAGUGGCUCCACUAGGUGAAACUACUGGGAAAAAAGUUAUAUUUGAAGUAGUUCCGGAGGAAGAGCGUAUGGUAGGGGUAUGUUGGACCACAGUCACAAAUGUUGAACAGAAACCAUGGAGGACCCUCCAGGAAGAGAGAGCCCCGGCGACAAGAUUUGUAAUGGCCGACACCGGACCUACAUAUGAGACAGCCUCUGCUACGGUGGUGUAAUUUUACGUCGUGGCUCACGGACCUAGGUCCUUAAGGUCUCUACCACCGAUACGUGUUGACAUUUUUAUGGAGGCCCACAACAGCACAACUACACCUGCCACUGCCGUCAAAAGCCAAGUUUAAACAGAUGUUGGUUUCGUUUUCGUUGUAACCACGUGCGAGAUCCUUCUCGAGUGUUGAUAUU
rnacentral:rRNA from 1 species